AGAGUUUGAUCCUGGCUCAGGAUGAACGCUGGCGGUAUGCCUAACACAUGCAAGUCGUACGGAAAAGAAAUUUUUAGUGGCGAACGGGUGAGUAACGCGUGAGAAUUUGCUUUUAGGUAGAGGAUAACGAAUAGAAAUAUUCGCUAAAACUCUAUAACUCUAUUAAAAAAAUAGCUGAAAAAAGAAAUUUGCCUAGAAAAAAGCUCGCGUCUGAUUAGCUAGUUGGUAAGGGAAAGGCUUACCAAGGCGACGAUCAGUAGCUGAUUUGAGAGGAUGAUCAGCCACACUGGAACUGAGACACGGUCCAGACUCCUACGGGAGGCAGCAGUGAGGAAUUUUCUGCAAUGGACGAAAGCCUGACAGAGCAAUACCGCGUGAGGGAAUAAGAAGGCCUAUGGGUUGUAAACCUCUUUUCUCAAAGAAGAAGAUCUGACGUUAUUUGAGGAAUAAGCAUCGGCUAACCCUGUGCCAGCAGCCGCGGUAAU
rnacentral:rRNA from 1 species